UAAUACAACCCUUUUAUAUGGUGUGCCUUUUCGAAUGAGAAAAGCCACUCCUCCACAGGCUCUUUCAGGUGCGUCUCUUGAAGAGCAAUACACAAUGGUGUAUACUUUUGAAUUAAGAGUUUCAGUUCGUUGAAAUUGUUAGAUAGUCCCCGACAGUUCCAUUGGAUAAUUUUUGUUGUAUCCAUUUUAAAAUGUAUAUGGGACUAUUACAAACAAUUAACAGUUUCACAUGAUAGACAAAGACAAGAAAACAUA